UGAGGAAUAUUGGUCAAUGGGCGGAAGCCUGAACCAGCCAUCCCGCGUGCAGGAAGACGGCCCUAUGGGUUGUAAACUGCUUUUCCAGGGGGAGAAACUUUCCGAUGAAUCGGGACUUGACGGUACCCUGGGAAUAAGCAUCGGCUAACUCCGUGCCAGCAGCCGCGGUAAUACGGAGGAUACGAGCGUUAUCCGGAUUUAUUGGGUUUAAAGGGUGCGUAGGCGGAUCGAUAAGUCAGUGGUGAAAACCUGCAGCUUAACUGUAGACUUGCCGUUGAUACUGUUGGUCUUGAGUAUGGUCAAAGUAGGCGGAAUGUGUAAUGUAGCGGUGAAAUGCUUAGAUAUUACACAGAACACCGAUUGCGAAGGCAGCUUACUGGACCAUCACUGACGCUGAUGCACGAAAGCGUGGGGAUCGAACAG
rnacentral:rRNA from 1 species